AUUGAACGCUGGCGGCAUGCUUUACACAUGCAAGUCGAACGGUAACAGGCCGCAAGGUGCUGACGAGUGGCGAACGGGUGAGUAAUGCAUCGGAACGUGCCCAGUCGUGGGGGAUAACUACUCGAAAGAGUAGCUAAUACCGCAUACGAUCUAUGGAUGAAAGCGGGGGACCGUAAGGCCUCGCGCGAUUGGAGCGGCCGAUGUCAGAUUAGGUAGUUGGUGGGGUAAAGGCUCACCAAGCCAACGAUCUGUAGCUGGUCUGAGAGGACAACCAGCCACACUGGGACUGAGACACGGCCCAGACUCCUACGGGAGGCAGCAGUGGGGAAUUUUGGACGAUGGGCGCAAGCCUGAUCCGGCAAUGCCGCGUGCAGGAAGAAGGCCUUCGGGUUGUAAACUGCUUUUGUACGGAACGAAACGGCUCUGGUUAAUACCCGGGGCUAAUGACGGUACCGUAAGAAUAAGCACCGGCUAACUACGUG
rnacentral:rRNA from 1 species